GCCAAACUCCAUUAUGGAAAAAAAGAUAAUUUAGAAUAGUUCGCUUUGGUUAAUAGCUAAUCCUCAACUGGCAAUUAUGGCAUAUAAAGAGGACCUGAUCUUGGAUUUUGCUGUGGCUUCAAUUAUUAUUAAAGAACCUGGAAUGUACAGAGAAUGAGAUGGCUGGAUGGAGUCACUGAAGCAGUAGGUGUGAACUUAAAUGGACUCCAGAAGAUGGUAGAGGGCAGGAAGACCUGGAGGAACGUUGUCCAUGGGGUCGCGAUGGGUCAGACACAACUUCACAAUUAACAACAACAAAGGGAUAUUUUCCCCAACACAAAGUCAAAGAUAGGAUUCAGGCAAUAUGAUGUUUUGUUUUGUUUUUUAGUUUUGGCUUAGUGGGGUAUGUGAAUAUAGUUUUUGUAACUUGUAAAGUAAGGUUUAUGAAUUGUUUAUUUAUCUGACGAUGAUUAAAGAAAUCCUGAUUUAAAGUA